UACGUAGGGGGCAAGCGUUGUCCGGAAUCAUUGGGCGUAAAGAGCGUGUAGGCGGCUCGGUAAGUCCGCUGUGAAAGUCCAGGGCUCAACCCUGGAAUGCCGGUGGAAACUGUCGAGCUUGAGUCCGGAAGAGGCGAGUGGAAUUCCUGGUGUAGCGGUGAAAUGCGCAGAUAUCAGGAGGAACACCAAUGGCGAAGGCAGCUCGCUGGGACGGUACUGACGCUGAGACGCGAAAGCGUGGGGAGCAAACAGG
rnacentral:rRNA from 1 species